GAUGAACGCUAGCGGCAGGCUUAACACAUGCAAGUCGAGGGGUAUGCCGAUUUAUCGGCAGAGACCGGCGCACGGGUGCGUAACGCGUAUGCAAUCUACCUUUUACAGAGGGAUAGCCCAGAGAAAUUUGGAUUAAUACCUCAUAGUAUAGUGACUCGGCAUCGAGAUACUAUUAAAGUCACAACGGUAAAAGAUGAGCAUGCGUCCCAUUAGCUAGUUGGUAAGGUAACGGCUUACCAAGGCUACGAUGGGUAGGGGUCCUGAGAGGGAGAUCCCCCACACUGGUACUGGGACACGGACCAGACUCCUACGGGAGGCAGCAGUGAGGAAUAUUGGACAAUGGGCGCAAGCCUGAUCCAGCCAUGCCGCGUGCAGGAUGACGGUCCUAUGGAUUGUAAACUGCUUUUGUACGAGAAGAAACACCUCUACGUGUAGAGACUUGACGGUAUCGUAAGAAUAAGGAUCGGCUAACUCCGUGCCAGCCGCCGCAGUAAAAC
rnacentral:rRNA from 1 species